rnacentral:rRNA from 2 species
GCUUACGGUCACACUACCCUGAGAACCCCCGAUCUCGUCUGAUCUCGGAAGCUAAGCAGGGUUUGGCCUGGUUAGUACUUGGAUGGAAGACCACCUGGGAAUACCAGGUGCUGUAAGCU